UACGAAGGGAGCUAGCGUUGUUCGGAAUCACUGGGCGUAAAGCGCACGUAGGCGGAUGUGUCAGUCAGGGGUGAAAUCCCGGAGCUCAACUUCGGAACUGCCUCUGAUACAGCACGUCUCGAGUCCGAUAGAGGUGGGUGGAAUUCCUAGUGUAGAGGUGAAAUUCGUAGAGAUCGGCAGGAACACCCAGGGGGAAACCAGUCGACUGGGCAGCACCUGACGCUGAGGUGCGAGAGCGUGGGGAGCAAACAGG
rnacentral:rRNA from 1 species